UACGUAGGUGGCAAGCGUUGUCCGGAAUUAUUGGGCGUAAAGCGCGCGCAGGCGGUCCUUUAAGUCUGAUGUGAAAGCCCACGGCUCAACCGUGGAGGGUCAUUGGAAACUGGAGGACUUGAGUGCAGGAGAGAAGAGUGGAAUUCCAGGUGUAGCGGUGAAAUGCGUAGAUAUCUGGAGGAAUACCGGUGGCGAAGGCGGCAUCCUGGACCAUUACUGACACUGAACCGCGAAAGCUAGGGGAGCAAACGGG
rnacentral:rRNA from 1 species